UUCCAUCUGGAAGAAUCUGGAGACAGGUGCUGCAUGGCUGUCGUCAGCUCGUGUCGUGAGAUGUUGGGUUAAGUCCCGCAACGAGCGCAACCCUUGUCUUAUGUUGCCAGCACGUGAUGGUGGGGACGUCAUGAGAGACUGCCGGGGUUAACUCGGAGGAAGGUGGGGAUGACGUCAAAUCAUCAUGCCCCUUAUGUCCAGGGCUUCACACAUGCUACAAUGGUCGGUACAACGCGUGUGCGACACUGUGAGGUGAAGCUAAUCGCUCUAAAGCCGGUCGUAGUUCGGAUUGGGGUCUGCAACUCGACCCCAUGAAGUCGGAGUCGCUAGUAAUCGCAGAUCAGCAACGCUGCGGUGAAUACGUUCCCGGGCCUU
rnacentral:rRNA from 1 species